CUCCUCGUCCGGCUGUUGCCUGCGCUGUGAGAGCUAGUUCCGUCUCCUCGCUUUUCUUUGUGCGCGCUGCUACUGCUUCGGCGUGCGUUCGGCUUUUUUCGCCAUAUUUGCCUUUUUGUGUGUGGCGCGUUGGAAGGCCGCGAAGACGCAAUCAAGGAACGUGUGGGCAUCGAGCUGCAGCCGAAAAUCAACUGCAGCGGGUUAAGUUUGCAGGCCAGGUCUCGAAAAAUUUUCAAGGGUCAGCGUGGAUCUUGUGGCAACUCUGAAUAUUUGGCCACGGAUAUCAACUCAAUUUUGAAGCUCCAUCAAGCAAGGCAAGCUCUCCACAUGCGCCCAAGGCAUGUCUGCGGCACGUCGUCACAUCGUCAGCGCAGAUGGUUCAUAGGCGCAUACUUCUAAGCUAGACUGCCUGCAAACUUCGUUUACUACCAUGAUUUUUUGUCAUUUUUGCCAGACUCCAGUGCUGAACUUGUACAAAUAUGAGACACACUACAAAAUUCAUUCCAAUGUUCAUAACACUAACAUACCGUGCAUAAAUAAGGGCUGCUCCAAACAUUUCAGAACAUUUAAUGCGCUGCGUGUGCAUGUUUCACGCAGUCAUGUUACAGAUGUUGCUUCUCCAACUUCAUCAGGAGAAGCAUUUAGCUGUCCUCAUACAUUCUGUGAUGCCCAGUUUCUCUUUAAGAAAGAUGUUGUUACGCAUGUUAAAAAACACAUUUCUUCUGGUGUUGCCACAGCAUGUUGUUUUGUUGACUGCAAAAAAGAGUUUUCAAACGCGAAAUCUUUCACUUCUCAUGUAAGUCGCUGUCAUGGCAGCAGUUUGUGUCCAAGGCGCAGUGUGGCACAAUGUGAAGAUUUUGCUGCACCUAGCAGUGUAGAUGACUGCACUACUGUUCAUCUAGCAUCUUCAGACACUGCAGACUCUAGUGCGCUGUCUUGGCAAACAAGAAAUGCAGCCCUGUUUUUAAUGAAAUUGGAAUCAUUUCACCUUGUACCGUCAUCCGUGGUGCAGAGUAUCAGUGCUGAAAUUCAUUCUAUGAAUUUAUUGUCUGCAGACCACAGGCUCAAUGUUAUUGGUCAGAUACUUCACGAACACAACGUAGAUGACGAAGCAUCUGGCAAGAUUUUCUCUGCAUUAAGCAAUGAAGAAACCCCUUUUAAUACAGUUGGUGGUGUGUUGCGAAGUAAAUAUUCACGGCACGACUGUUAUAAAAAGGAAUUUAAAAUGAUAGAGCCAGUCGAGAUUACCUUUAAGAAUGAACGAAGUAUUCAUUAUGUGCCAAUUAAGCAGUCUCUUGCUGCGAUGCUUGCAGAUGUCUCGGUGAAACAAGCAUUAAACAAGAAUGCUGUUUGUGACAGCCAGUAUCUUUCCGGCUUCAAUGAUGGAACCCUGUGUAGAGAGUCUGCCUACUUGCAGCAGAACAGUGGCGCUAUUCAGCUGCUCUUGUACCAGGACGCAUUUGAAGUGGCAAAUCCUCUUGGGUCGGCAAGAAAAAAGCACAAAGUUAUGGGGAUGUAUUACAGUGUUGCCAACCUUCCGUCACACUUUACCACAAAGGUGCAUAAUAUUCAGUUAGUGAUGAUUUGUUAUGAGUCAACACUUGUGAAUCUAGGCCACCAUGCUGUGAUGAAGACAGUUGUUGCAGAACUUAAGGACCUUGAAGAAAAUGGAAUUAUUGUGGGAAGUGAUCACUUCAAAUGUGCCUUGGUUGCUAUCCUGGGUGACAAUUUGGGAAGCCAUGGAAUUGGUGGCUUCACAGAAAACUUUUCUACAUCAAGGUGGUUUUGCCGAUACUGUGAGGUCACGAAGGAGGACUUUCUCAACAACCCCCAUUUGCUGGGGCGGCAACGCUCACGUGAUGAGCAUAAUAACUGUGUGAGCAUGGCCGAACAGGGUUACGUUGACUUGGCAAAAGGAGUGAAAUUUGACUCUGCUUUUAAUGCCUUGCAGUCUUUUCAUGUGACAUCUGGGCUGCCACCGUGUGCUGCUCAUGACAUUUUAGAAGGGAUCGCUCCAUUUGAUUUGUCACUAAUUGUGAAGCACCUUGUUCAUAAAAAAAAAUGGUUUACAGUUGCGCAGCUUAAUGAGCGAAUCAAGAAUAUAUCCCUAAGCCGUCGGGACGCUAAAAGCAGGCCAGCAACGCUUAUGAAUAACAACAGCUGUAAAGUGCGUGGGCAAGCAGUUGAAAUCUAUUACUUGAUACGACUGCUGCCUAUUCUCAUCCAUGAUAAAAUACUUGACUGUGAAGACGAGGUAUGGAGCUUGUACUUGAUGUUAAAGUCUAUUACUAUUAUAGUUAUGUCUCCCAAGCUUCAUAUUACUCAGGUUGAGUACCUCAGGGUUCUUAUUGGUGAAUACAUCACUGAAAGAGUUAGACUUUUUGCAGCAGUGCCUCUGCGACCCAAACAUCAUUUUUUGAGCCAUUACCCCGAUCUCUGUUAUCGUUUCGGUCCAUUGGUGCACUCAUCAACAUUGCGUUUUGAAAGUAAGCAUUCAUACUUCAAGCGCAUUAUCCGAGCCUCACAGAAUUUCAAGAAUAUUACACUUACAAUGGCGAGCAAGCAUGAAAUGCUUCAAGCAUAUUGUAGGGCAGGAAAUGUUAUCCCUGACGAUUUGGUGCAAGAAAAGUGCUUUGCAUUGCAGUCAGGGAUUAUAGAUUCCAGAAUAGUGCGUGCACUUCACUCUCAAUUCCCAGCACCAGAGUCAGCAGAACUAAGCCUUCAAUUAACCUACAAGGGUACUACCUAUGAAGCUGGCUCUGUUAUAUUGUAUUGUGUGGGUGGGUGUUUGAAGGGAGCAAAGAUUAGCUGCUGUGUAUCCGUUGAACGGAGCAUUUCUUUCAUUGGUGCACCUUGCACAAUCGAAGAAUGGGGUGGCAGAGGCCUUAAGGUGGUAACCUUCACAAACAAGGAUCUGGUGUGUGUGAAAUAUGAACAGCUUGUUCACAGGAGUUCAUUGAAUGUGUAUGCUUGUGCCUCUAGGAAUGUCCUGACUCUUAAUCAUGAUGUUGACUUUGUUCAUUUUGUGUGAAAGGAGUGUUUCUUGGAUUACACAUUAUACUUGCGGGAGAUUUAGUCGAUAUUAGCCGAAUACACGUUUCUUUUUUUUUAAUAAGUGCCAUAGAGUAGUGAGAUUUCUUGCGCCUUUGGGGUUUCCCGGCCCAUUUCAUAACACAUGUUAGUUAUUCUGUAGUUCCAGUAUAAAGUAGAAAACAGAUUUUUGUGCAAAACCCUUCUGCAAAGCCCUGCAGUAGUACUGGACACCUCUUCAACCCUGUAAGAGUACUGUGAUUAGUGUGGUGAUUAUUGUUAUCUUGUUUUGUGCACAUACCUUAAAUAAAUGAAGUUACAACUUGAA